CCUACGGGUGGCAGCAGUGGGGAAUAUUGCACAAUGGGGGAAACCCUGAUGCAGCGACGCCGCGUGAGCGAUGAAGUAUUUCGGUAUGUAAAGCUCUAUCAGCAGGGAAGAAAAUGACGGUACCUGACUAAUAAGCCCUGGCUAACUACGUGCCAGCAGCCGCGGUCAUACGUAGGGGGCAAGCGUUAUCCGGAUGUACUGGGUGGAACGGGAGCGUAGACGGCGGUGCAAGCCAGAUGUGAAAGCCCGUGGCUCAACCCCGGGACUGCAUUUGGAACUGUGCUGCUAGAGUGUCGGAGAGGCAGGCGGAAUUCCUAGUGUAGCGGUGAAAUGCGUAGAUAUUAGGAGGAACACCAGUGGCGAAGGCGACCUGCUGGACGAUGACUGACGUUGAGGCUCGAAAGCGUGGGGAGCAAACAGGAUUAGAUACCCGGGUAGUC
rnacentral:rRNA from 1 species